GUUAUCUAGAAAACCAUAGAAGAAGUUGGUCAUGUGACCACAUAUUUUUGAAGAGGCAUCCAUUUCAAUCAUCCUGCAAAGAAGGGAGACACAUGGCUUGAGAGACCAAAAUCCAUCAUGCCACGCAAAUACAAAAGGAAGACAGACAGGGUUUCAACUCCUCUUGAGGAGUUGGAAAGAGCAGUGAAAGAGGUGCAACAGGGGAAGACCAUACGUCAGGUUGGAAAGGAGAUGAAGAUCUGCAGGAUGACCAUAAAAAGAUAUAUGGAUAA